UCGCCGCUAAAAGUCUUAAUCCGGGACAAGGGAUUUAGAAUUGAUCUGGACCGCUCUUUACUGAACUAAUCGAAGGGCUAGGGUUUAUCCCUACAUAAAACAUGUGUAAAAAGGCUCACAUCUGUUUUGGCGGCAUUUUUCCCUCUUCCCUCCAAGAUGAAAUCUUCACACACCCCUGGAGGACAACCUUGAAUCUGCCGGAGAGCCUCACCACCUUCAAUCUGCCAUAGCACCUCCAUCUCGUCUUGCUGAUUGUCCGACGCCCUUUGAAAACGGAAUACUUUGACGAAUUGUUUGAAGACCCGAGAUUUAUGGAACGACUCUACAAAGCUAUGGAUAAGAAGGAAUCAAGAAAAGUCAACGAAAAUGACACGGACGAGGAGGGAGAAUGAUGUAUUUUGUAUUGAACUUAGGGGUUUCAAAACUUUAACUUAAUCAAACAAAAUACUUUUGUUGUCGUUUUAUGUUUAAAACUUGGUUUGUUUGAAGAAUUGUUUGAAUUAUUGUUUGCGUAUGGAAAAUUAAAAGAAACAGCAGGUUUCAGUUA